GGGGAGGCUGCAGGAGGGGAGGCCCCGCGUCCCCAGUCAGGGGAACCAGCACCACAUUUAAGGCAGGCCUGGUCCUUGGUCUCCAUGGGGCCUUGGCCAAGGCAGGAGCCUGGGCUUCUGCACGGCCCUGGGGGGCCGGAGCCCCAGUCUCAGCGCCCACUGCCUUCUGGGAGUUGGCCUGGGUGCCGACCAGGCCACAGCUUCCUCCUGGGUCAAGCCUGGAGGAUCUGGUCAGGCUCAGGGUUAGGGUUAGGAUGAGGCGUGCCUGGGCUCCCUCCUUGCCUUCCUUCCGCUCUCUGAGAGGAUUUCUUUGCUCUGCUACACCCAGCGCACGCCUGGCCAUUUCCCUGUGGGGAUGGACGGAGCCGCUGGCCUGGCUCUGCCAGGCUGGCUGUGACCAGAGUGGCAUCAUGUGGGCCCCGCCAGGGAGGGGGGUGGCUGCUUGCCUGAGAGGGGGCAGUGGGCUGGAGGCGGCGGCACCCCAUUCUGCAGAGCAGGGACCACAGCCAAGAAGUGGCCCCGGGCCCCAUACCCACUGCCCACUGCCCCGCCAGCUCCUCCUGGGAGUUCCUGUUCCCCAUCGAGAGUUUCUUUGUUCUGAGAGACUGCAGUGCCUGCUGCUUCUUUCCCUGUGUGCCAGCGCGUGGACGAGGAGCUUCGCGGUGUGAAUGGCUCGGUGUUUACUGAGCACCUGGAGGGUGUGAGGCCAGGGCAGGGGCUUGGCGCUCCUCCUGCGCUCCGUGCCUGGGCGACGCGGAUGUGACCAGGCCGACCGUGUGUGCAGGACCCCGGCCACAGUGCAGCGCAUCCCCUCCGGGUGGCCCGGCCCAGGCCUCUGUGAGGGCCUCCUCAUCCCCAGCCUGUCUUGGGGACCAGGCCCCUAGGCCUGGGGUGCACCCUGGCGGUGGGUGAGCGUGGAGCCGCUGAGGCAUCUGAGACUCCUGUGGUCAGGUCAGUGCACUCACAGAGAAAAUGGGGCUGGCAUCCAGGGCCGGGGUCCCUGCCCAGUGCCACUGUGGCCACAGCCAGGCUCAGGCAUCCGGGAGCACCCUCGAUGGCUCCAGAAGGGCUGUGCCCCGACACACAGGGGCUGCCGGGAUGCAGGCCGAGUGCCUGAGGAGAGGACAGAGACUCAGCAGGGGUGGCACGGAGCAGGGAGGUCCCCGAGGCCAUAAGGGCCGCACCUCUGCCCGUCUGCAGCCACGUUGCUCACAGCGCUCAGGGUCGGUGUCCCCUUCCCUCCCUUUCCGUCCUCAUCCACCACCUGCCACGUCCGGGCCCAGGGAACCUGUUUCCCACUCCAGCCAACACUGCUACCCGCCCACAGAGCACUGCACCCUGUGGGCCCCUGGCCGUGCAGGGCUACAGCCCGCUGAGGUGCUUGAAGUCCCGUGUCCCUGCGUCUUUGUGUGCACGGUGCCCGCGAACCUGACACUGCAGUGUGGGGCCCCACUGGGAUUUCACCUCCUCACAUUAAGCCGUCCCCGCGGUCACUUGGUGAGGCCUUCCUGUCACCUCCUCCACACACACAAACAGGCCCGGACAGGGAUGCCUUGGGCCAGGUCCCAGAGCUCAUAAGUGGCAGAGCCACAUUUGACUCCAAGUUUGUGCCCAGACCUCCCCAGAGCCUGGGGACCCUGUAACUGUGCCGUUUCUGUCCAGUGUCCCAGUUGAGUUCCGGGCUGUGUCUUCCAGAGACAGCAACACAGACUCAGCGGCCCAGGAAUGGUAUACUGUGCCUUGGGCAGGGGCCUGGCCAGAGGUGUCUGAGUGGGAGCCUUGUGCAAACCCUGCACUCUCCCCAGACUGCCACCAGCGUGGCCAGGCCCGGGCCACGUGGGACCCGUUCAGACCCAGGGAUCCUCUGCAGCGGGUCAGGCCUUGAGCCUGGCUCCGGGUCCCCUCUUUCCCUGUCUUACCUGGUGGUGACAGUUCUCAUUCAAAACAAAAUGGAGUUGUCCACCCAGGAAGUGUGGUGUCAUUUUGUGACAUUAAGAGUUAGCGUUAGCUGAGUGUGUGGCACUUGUCUGUAAUCCCUGCUUUCUGGCAGGCUGAAGCAGGAGAAUUGUAAGUUCAGGCCCAGCCAGGGCAACUUAGCGGCUUAGCAGCAGCUGUUUUAAAUAAUAAAGGGUGGGGGAAGCUGUGAAUGUAGCUCAGUGGUAAGCUCAGUGGUAACGAGUACCCCUGGGUUCAAGCCUCAGCACCAUCUCCCUGAAAAAGGAAAAAGCAAGCCUCCUGAGCCCAGUGCGUCCCUUAGGACUGCGGUUAUUUCAGACGAAAAUCAGCAGGGUUCCCUAGCAUCCAGUCCCUGAGGACUCGGCAUUGAUAUUUAGCCGUUGUACAAACAGACUGCCGCUUCUAACCUGGACUCUGCCCGGGAGGGAGUGCGGAUGUGCACUGUCCACACAGAAGCUGGGGAAUGGCCGGCAGCGAUGGUCACCUAGCACGUCCACCAGACCCUCCCAGCCUCCUGGACCCCAGGCCCUGCAGCCUUCCGGAUGCCAGGCAUGGACCUCCAGGGAGGGUGCCUGGCUGGGGCCACCGUGCGGGAGUGGCCCUAUGAGUUCUGUCAUGCAUUCAUUCGAUCAUUAAUUCAUCCGCUGUCACCCGGUUGCUAAGCACUGUGUCAGGCCUGGGGAUGAAGAGUAGAGGAGACAGCUCAGCCUCCAGAGACCCCACGCUCCCUCAGGACGGUGGGGUGGCAGUGAGCACAGGCUGCCUGUCACCCCCAGGGACAGGUGCGUCUGCACGCGGGACUCAAUCCAGGCGGUGACCCUCAGCCUGUCGCCUCCUGCUCUCAUGGUCUUGGACAGCUGCUGCUUCUCGCUGCCUCAGUUUCCUGCCGUGGGAUGCGUGAAGCUGCCACACAUGGGGCGUGCUCCAUGGGAUGGGGGAGACGGACGGUGGCGUCGGGUGGUGGCACUGGGGAACCUCGCUGUCCUCUCCCAUCUGCUGUGGCUGUGGCCAUGCAGUGCAGCAGAAAUCAAACGGAGCCACGUGUGUGCCUGGGGCUUUCUAGUUGCUAGUCGGAAAAGUAAAAAGGGACCGGAGA